AGUUGUGUGCAUUUCUCUUUGGUAGGCAUUUGGUUUAUCUUUGUAACAUCUUUGGCGCAAUUGAUCUUUGCAUGGCAAGUAGUGCGCAUCACUGUAUCAGUGUGUUUACGUGCGCCGUGCGGUGUAAACAGUUGGUUGUUGUGGUAGGAAAUGCGUUGAAAUUUGUUGUACAAAAUGUCAAAGAUUUUUGAACGAUUUGAGACAUUGAGAUGUAUGGUUCGAGUAUGUGAUAAAAGGUUUGCGUCAUCAGAUACUAAAUCGGGACACCCAAAAAGAGUUCCGUGGCAGAAAAAGGAAGGUGAAUGGAGAAGUAAAUUGACAGCAUUUGCACCGGAUGAGGGGAAGGCUAUAGGCCCAGACAUCAUAAAUUUCUUUCGUGGCCCUCUUUCAUUCAAGCAGUGGUUCGCCAAUGUUAAAGAAGGUCACGCAGAUCACCUCCAGCGUUUUAUUCCAGAGAGACACGAUAUACUAGGAUGUGAUUUAGCCACAUCACAUUUCAUCGUGCAUAGAGGCGGUUCUGUAAAAUUCUGUGACCAUUCGGAGUGGAUUAAGAAAGAUGAAAACGACGAGUAUGAUUUGCCUAACAAGUAUGUACCUAGUAUGUAUUUGGAAGCAGUUGACGCUUCCAACACGGAACUGAGAUAUGAAGGUCUCCGAAAUUUUGUGAACCUUAAACGAUUGAAGUGUCUUAAUUUAAGUAAUUGUGCACACAUUGAUGAUUGGUGCCUCGACAAAAUAAGUGGCGAAUUAAGGACGCUGGAAUAUUUGGACAUCAGCGACUGUAAACAAGUAACCUAUCGUGGCUUAUCUGCCUUUUACCGGUUUGAAAAUUUGAAACGUUUGAAAGUUAAUAAUAUUGCUUCGUCGAGAGAAUUUGAGUUCAUGUGCCUUAUGUUGGAAGACAUAUUUCCUAAUUUGGUUAUCGACGGAGUCAAAUACAUUGAUGUUACGUCUCCAUAAACUUUACAAUGAGGAAAUCGACGUGUAGUUAAUUAAUACUUAAGUUUGUAAUUUAUUCACAUUUUUUUAAUUUUUGCUAACUACCCUUUCGGUAUCGUGGAGUUGGAUUUUGUGCAGAAAGCAACUGACAGCGACAGUCUGCAAUCCUGGUGCGCCUAAGCAGCACACGCGAAUUUCUAGGAAAGUACUUGGGUAUUGGAAGUUGUAGGACGUCGAAUACAGUCGUAGUGUUCCAGUAAAACGUAAGAUAUUUAGUCCACUGCUCAUACGAGACAGUGAAAAAAAUAAAGAAAAUGGGACUGCCCUCACAUGAGGAUACCAGGUACAUAUGUACAUCAAAACAUAAAUGAAUGUGUGUUAGACUUACACAGUUGUAGAUUGCACUGGUAUAGUAGUAAAAUUGCAGUUGUGGACAGUGCGGCAAACUGUGGAGAAGACGAAGGAGACGGCCUGAUUUAUCCCAUGAGCUGGAUGACUCACAUCAACAAGCCACUUGGGUAGCUUCUUACAGAGUUUUCAGUCCAUUAAGCAACGGUGAGUCGAGACCGUCACCAG